rnacentral:rRNA from 1 species
UGGGAACGCGAAGAACCUUACCAGGGCUUGACAUCCUACUAAUGAAGCAGAGAUGCAUUAAGCGCCCUUCGGGGAAAGUAGAGACAGGUGGUGCAUGGUUGUCGUCAGCUCGUGUCGUGAGAUGUUGGGUCAAGUCCCGCAACGAGCGCAACCCCUAUUGUUAGUUGCUACGCAAGAGCACUCUAGCGAGACUGCCGUUGACGAAACGGAGGAAGGUGGGGACGACGUCAAAUCAUCAUGCCCCUUAUGUCCUGGGCCACACACGUAAUACAAUGGCGUUAAACAGAGGGAUGCUAAGCCGUGAGGUGGAGCGAACCCCUAAAAGGCGUCUCAGUUCGGAUUGCAGGCUGCAACUCGCUUGCAUGAAGUCGGAAUCGCUAGUAAUCGCGGAUCAGCAUGCCGCGGUGAAUACGUUCCCGGGUCUUGUACACACCG